rnacentral:lncRNA from 1 species
UUCCUUCUCCUCCUCCUUGGUGCGGCAAGGGUCUAGGGACAGGUUUAGAGCCUUAGGGUAUGGAUGCAUGGUAUGGAGGGAUGUAGUAGUGUUUAGGGGAAGGGAAUGGUGCGGCAAAGGUGUGGAGAGAGUUUGGACGAAUUUCUGGAGUGAUUUGUGAAUUGUGGUGAGUGGUGAUCUGAUUUAGGGGUUAAUAGGAGUAUAUAUAGGCACUUAAAACCCUAGGGUAAUCAGAUAUGGACUUGGAUAACCCAAAUCACAAGGAAAUAGGUCUAAACAAUCAGAUUUUGCAAGGGAAAAGGGGGUCCUAGGUGCGGCAGGGAUAGGAUAAGGUGAUAAGGUUUCUAGAAUGCCUUGCAAGGCAAGGAACUAGGCAUCUAGAAGCUAGGGUGCGGCACCAAUGUAGGGAUUUAAGGGAGAGGGCUUCUAGAAAGCCCCAAAACUGAUAGGAAAUUGCAUGAAAUCCACGGCAAGGAUGUAAACUUUCUAGAAACUUCUCAUUUGUGUCCUACAACACUUAGGAGUCCUUCUAGCAUUAGGAAAACAUGUCUCAAUCCUCCCUUGACUUGGAAUUCUUCUCCUUCUUGGAUUUGGAAAACUUCUUUGUUGCUGAAACUUGAUGCCAUUUGGAUUUAACUUUCCUACUUCAAGUAGGAAACCUUGUUUGAGUAGGAAUCUUCAUCUUCAAGGAAUCCUAAUUCAACUAGGAAACCCAUUUUGACUAGGAAUCCUAAUUCAACUAGGAUUCCAUCUUCACUUAGGCGCUUUCCUACUUUGACUAGGAAACCUUGUUCAAGUAGGAAACAUCAUCUUCAAAUCUUCAAUUUCGUCCAUCCUCUUGGCUCCAAGCAUAUGACAUUCAUUCCAAGCUCAACUUUGCUCCAAAAGGCUCCAAAAUGCAUCAUUUUGCAUACUUUGCCCUUAGAACCUGAAAACACAUAAAACUAGCUUAAAAGACUACUUUACUAAGCAAAAACACUAUAAAAGUACAAGAACGAGCUAAACUAAGGCGCAUAAAUAUGCUCCUAUCAAAUUCCCCCACACUUAGCUUUUGCUAGUCCUCGAGCAAAACAAAACGAAACAAAAGAACAAAACGAAAUAAAACAAGUAAAACAACCUAAACCUUCCAACAAUCGCCUCAGGGAUUUCCAAUGCACAUGACAUGUUAAAAAUCAUCAUUCCCACAGAUUUUAGCCAUCUUUACACUCAAGCCCAUACUUAAUCAUAGUCACUACUUACUAGUUCACAUUUAACCAACUAAAAUAAUGUUUUGAAUGUAGUAACAUGCCUUAGAGAAUCCCUCAAUUCCUUACUAGAUAUGCACUCUAUUUUCACUCAGAUUGUCUAACUACACACCCUACACUAGUUAUAUGUGAGAAGAUUGAUGUAAAAAUAAAAACGAAUGCUCACAUAUAUGUAUAACAAAGAAAGCAAUUUCCGGAGUUAAUAACAUGUUUAUAAAUAUGAUCUCAUGAAUGGAAUGCUACUACUUAGAUGCGAGAACCAAUGACACCAUAUGCUCAAACCAAUUUCAAACUCCACAAAUUGAAACACACAACACUCAAGAUUAAAGUCAAGGGUUGUAACGGGGCUCAAGGUAUUGGCUAACAAAAACAGAUAUGGAAAACAAACGUUCUUUAAAACAAUAGUAGGCAAAGUGUGGAAAUCGAAACUUAGAAUUCUCUUUAGCAUGCCGAAAUCAAAUUCAAAACAGAAGGGAAGACUCAAACAAUCAAUUAGGGCCGAAUGCAACUCUUUGGACCCUUUCUUCAACAAACAACACUUUGGAACUCUUUUUCACAUGCUCAUCAACUAUUUUGCAUGUUUUUCACAUUUUUCUUUUUUUCUUUCUAUUUUUCACGAUUUUUUUUUUUCUUUCUUUUCUCAUUUUUUCUCUUCUUUGCCGUGCCUCAUUCAAGACUUUGGCACAUCCCUAUAUCAUUAAUCCUUCCCCCACACUUGUUUCCCGCACAUAUUGAUCAAAAGGAAUUCAUCUUCCGUUAUGCUUUACUAUGUUUUAAGAACAAGGGUGUGGAUGGUCCUAAUCUAGGCUAGGUGAGGAUAAUGUGGUUAACAAGGGAAAUAGGCUAAACGAGGCUCAACGGGGUUAACACCUACAAAACAUAAUGGAAUAGGGAUAUACGGCUUUUGGGCUAUGGUGGACACUACACAACUUAAUCUUGAAUAUGUGUUAUGCAAAUCAAUGACAUGUUUUGAAUGAAAUGGGCAUGAGUUCUAGUGUUUGGUUCUAAGUGAUGAAACGCCUUCUAAGUAGCAACCAAGCAAAGAAUAAUGAGAUCAUGCAACGACUUUAGAAAACAAAGAAUGCACAGAUUUUAACUCUCCAAAUAAACGUUUAGGCUCAAGUCUCACAAGGUUGUAGCGUUAGUUUGAGUUACUUCCUUCAAGCAUGUUACAAAAACGGAUUUUUACUUUAUGAUUACAUGUGAAUUCAUAAGUUAUAACCACAACCAAGCAUAAACCAAAGAGUAAAUCAAACUUUUAUCCAUGUUUAUAACUCUCUUUAACCAUCAUGCAAUUACAAACCGAAUCCUCAUCAUUGUGUUGGAAGGUACCCUAAGACACAAACAAACACACAAAAACGACUCUUUUUGGGGUUUUUUUAAAACAAAUUUUCAAAUUUUUAUGGGAUUUUCGGAUUUUUGACUCAAAACACAUUAAAACACACCAAAACAGCUUAAAAAGGCUUAAAAACAGCAAGAAACAACAUUUGAAAUUAUGGGUGAUAAAACCCUACGAAUUUGUAUCAAAACACUUUGGUUACCCCCCCACACUUAAAUCAAACAUUGUCCUCAAUGUUGCAAGCAUAAACUAACACAAAUAACAAACAAACACACAAAACAGCAACUAAACAACCUAACAUGGCAGAAACGAAAUAACAACAAAGAGAAGGGUUUAGGAACGCAAAUCUGGAAUUGGAGUGCUCUCUAGGUCUUCCUUUGUUGAAUGCGUGGGUUGCCUCCCAAGAAGCGCUUUCUUUAACGUCUUGCAGCCGGACGAUGCUCCAUUGAAGGUUUAUGGAACCCCACGGCAUGGAGGGGUGUUUCCACAACCUGUCCUACGAAAUACUUCAUUCUUUGGGUCCUUGAAUGGGAUGGGAUAAUGAUCCUUUCUUAUUGUCAUGUUUUGCUUCUCUGAAUCAACACGAACUCUCCCACCACGUUGUCUUCGAUUAGGUACCUGCACCAUACAAGGUAACAACCUAUUAGUUGAAAUGGGAAUCGAAUUUGGAAUAGGUGGCUUACCUUUGUACGGCAAAGAAGUGGUAGCACUAUGGACAGAUGCACAAGGGUUGCACUCGGGCAGAUUUGAUGAUUUCAAGGUUGGAGCCGUGCACUCUUUGUUGUUCACUCCAAUUCCUUCCUCGAUGGUGGGUUGUGGUACAUUCUUCUUGACUAGUGUUGAAUAUUCCUGCCCUAUAUUUUCAAUUACAUUAAUAGCACAACAAGAACGAACAUCAUUAGUAUUCUCAACCGAUUCAGAAAUCUUAAAGUUAAUCAUAUCACCACCAAAUGCCAUAGUUACUGCUCCCUUGGCCACGUCAAUCUUGGUUUGAGCAGUUUUCAUGAAUGGUCGUCCAAGUAAGAGUGGUGAUGGUGGAGAGUGGGUUGAGUCCUCCAUAUCAAGCACAUAGAAAUCUGCAGGAAAAAUCAAAUGGUCUACCUGCACCAAAACAUCUUCCAACACUCCUUUGGGAUAUGCAUUAGAUCGAUCGGCUAAUUGAAUAAUAACACCAUCAUUUUUAAGCUUCCCUAGAUUCAUAGAUGCAUAAACAGAAUAUGGCAUGACAUUUAUAGAUGCACCUAGAUCUAACAUAGCAUGAUCAAACCUCGUAUUGCCAAUAACACAAGGGAUAGUGAAACUACCUGGAUCUUUGCAUUUAGGUGGUAACUUUCUUUGCAACAAUGCAGAUACAUUCUCACUUACGUGUACCACCUCUUUCUCCCGAAUCCGUUUCCUUGUUGUACAAAGCUUCUUCAAAAACUUGGCAUACUUCGGGAUUUGCUUUAUAGCAUCGAGGAGAGGGAUAUUGACAUGCACAUUUCUAAACGUCUCAAGAACGUCUUGUUCCUCUUCUUCGUUCUUGGCUUGCAAAAAUCUGCUAGGAAAGGGUACAUCCGGAGGAAUAACAUUAGAAUUAACUUGAAUUGUACCUGCCUUACCUUUAUUGGCCAAAUUGGAUGGCCUGGGUGGUUGAGGCAAGGAUUGCUCAAUCCUUGCCGUGGCUUUUGCUUGCUCCUCCUCUUCCAUUUGCAGCUUCUCGUUCUCCUUGAGGGCAGAUUUGGAUGGUUUUGGCUCGUUUCCUACUUCUUUCCCACUUCUUAGCGUGAUAGCCUUGGCAGUUUCGACUCCUCCCCUCGGAUUGACAACCGUUGAACUAGGCAACCUUCCUUGCUCACGAAAUUGCCCCAUGAACUCGGCAAUUUGUCCUACUUGCUUCUCCAACUCAUCCAUCCUUUUGUCUCUAUUUUGCAUACCUUGCGCCAUAGAAGUUAGUAAUUGAAAAAUCUGAUCAUUAUCAAUGGACGAACCUGAAUUGGUUUGGGUAGGUUGUGUGGGUGCAAACGGCUUUUGAUAGAAACCCGGAGGUUGUUGCCUAAAUGUGCUUUGUUGUUGGCCUUGUUGAGGGUCUCGCCAUUUGAAAUUCGGAUGAUCACGCCAACCGGGAUUGUAUGUAUUAGAAAAAGGGUCAUUCCUCGGUUGGUAUUGGUUGCCAAAACCCACGACAUUGAGGGUCUCCCACCCUCCAUUCUCAAUCAAUUGUGGGCACUUGUCCGUAGGGUGUCCUUGCAUGGAACAUACGCCACACGCACUUACAUUUUGAACUUUUGGCCCUUCCACAACCUGAGAAAGCAAAGUAGUAAGGUUAGCCAUUUGAUUUUGAAGUUCGGUUAUGGCACUUACCUCAUUCACUUGGUGUUGCCGUGUGGUGCCUCUUUGUCCAACACCUUCGUAUUGUUGAGCGUUCAACGCUCGAUUGGCAAUCAAAGUCUUUGCUGCCGUAGGGGUCUUGUCCACCAACGCUCCUCCCGCCGAGGCAUCUAGCAUUUGUCGUUCGAUGGUAGAAGUCCCUCGUAGAAGUAUUGCAGAAGAAGCUCCUCUUUCAUUUGAUGCUGUGGACAAGAAGCAACAAGAGAUUUAAAACGUUCAUAGUAUGUAGGAAAAGACUCACCUUCUUCUUGUUGAAUUCCACUUAUCCUUUUUCGUAGGAGAAUAACUCGAGAAGUUGGAAAAAACUUCUCCAAGAAAGCUCGUUUCAUGCUCUCCCAUGAUGUGACAGUUCCGGGAGCCAAUUCGUACAACCAAUCUUUCGCCUUCUCUAAGAGAGAAAAGGGAAAGGUCUUCAUCUUCAAGAUGCUCUCAUCCACGUUCACCGGAGUCAUGCUUGAGCAAACGACUUCAAAUUCCUUCAAGUGCUUGUUCGGAUCUUCCAUGGACAGCCCAUGGUACUUCGGAAUGUGAUGUAACAAGCUUGACUUCAAUUCGAACUCGGCAGUUUUGUCCGGAGCCGCCCUAGGGUAUUAAAUACAUAGAGGUGCGGCAUUGUCCAAUCCCGAAGCGGAAAGCUCCUUGAUCGUUCGGUUGUCCACUGCCAUGUCUUCCACUUCCUCUUCAAAUUCAGAAACGGACUUGGAACUUGCACUUGAUUUACUAGGUUCCGGGUUCUUCCUCUUUCGUCUCAACUCACGCUCAAAAUCGUCGUCAAAGUCUAAAAUAUGUUCGUGAACCGGAUUAGAACUCCGAGUCAUAAACAAGUACCCAAAACAAGAAACAAAAUAACAUAAGAAUCUGAUCUAAUAAGAAAACGAAAAUAACAAUCCAAGGGAUUAGCAAAGUUGCUAAUCCCCAGCAACGGCGCCAAAAUUUGAUGUGUAAAUUAACUAGCACUCAAAUUAAACCCUCUUUUUAUCAAUUGUAGCAAUGUAUGUAAGUAGGGAUCGUUCUAGACCGGGGAUUAGGAGGGAUUGCAAAAUCACUUGGACAUGACUCAAAAACGUAAAAAACAAGUUUUAAACACUAAAAUAGACUCAAAGAAUGCAAAACUAAACUUUAAAACACCAAAACAAACCAAAAGACUCAAAACAGCACCAAAACACUCAAAACUGCCUUAAAAACACAAUCUGGGCAGUUUUGGACACUAAGCACCAAAUUGGACGAAUUUGGGUUUUAACUUGAAUCAAAACACUUAAAAACACAAAGUAAAACACUUACUAACUAAUUUGACACUUUAAAACAAAGGGGGAUUGGUUUUGGCCGAAUUUAAAAACAAAACAAACUUUGUAAAUUAGAACAGAUUAUAAAAACGAAUUUGAUUUAAAUGGGUGAAUGGAAGGCUAGCUAAGGGGUUCAUCUCCACACAUGUUAUACUUGCAUACGAAAUUUCCAAUUGCUUUUCAAUAAACCAUGAAUUCUCAAUGCCCCAAGUUAAUUAGGUCCGCUUAAAUUAACCUUCAGAUUUUCCUAACGUUAUUGAAUUGGAUGAUUGCAUACGACAACCCAAAACAUUCCCCACAAGUCCCCUACAUGAUUGCAUAAUAGAGAUACAAGCAAGAAUCAUUAAGUUCUAUGAAAACCAUAAGCAUUGACGAAGCACUUGUUACUAUGAUUGCAUGAAACUUAUGCCAAGAAUUUACUUAACGCGAUUGAGAUCAUCAACCUUUACUACUUGUGAAUAUAAUUCCAUAACGAUUAGGUGAAAUUUCCUUAUAUCCUAGCAUUCAAUUUAUGCAUGAUAAUUAAGCGUGCACUCUCAACCAACACACACAAAUCAAUGUAAUCCACAUAGAUAAGUAAAUUGAAUUCACAACUUAUGAAACGCAAUUAGAAGUAAUCAAAUCAUAACGCAAGCAUAAACAUGUAUUUCGAAUCCCCCCCAAGCCAAGGGGGGGUUUAGUUCCUCAUACGCACAAAACAAAGAGAAUUGAAUUUAAACAUUGAAAUCAAAGGAAAAGAAACACCUAGAAAUUCCAGCGACACGAACUUGAAUUGCAUGAACUUCCGAGCUUCCUUCUCCUCCUCCUUGGUGCGGCAAGGGUCUAGGGACAGGUUUAGAGCCUUAGGGGUAUGGAUGCAUGGCUAUGGAGGGAUGUAGUAGUGUUUAGGGGAAGGGAAUGGUGCGGCAAAGGUGUGGAGAGAGUUUGGACGAAUUUCUGGAGUGAUUUGUGAAUUGUGGUGAGUGGUGAUCUGAUUUAGGGGUUAAUAGGAGUAUAUAUAGGCACUUAAAACCCUAGGGUAAUCAGAUAUGGACUUGGAUAACCCAAAUCCACAAGGAAAUAGGUCUAAACAAUCAGAUUUUGCAAGGGAAAAGGGGUCCUAGGUGCGGCAGGGAUAGGAUAAGGUGAUAAGGUUUCUAGAAUGCCUUGCAAGGCAAGGAACUAGGCAUCUAGAAGCUAGGGUGCGGCACCAAUGUAGGGAUUUAAGGAGAGGGCUUCUAGAAAGCCCCAAAACUGAUAGGAAUUGCAUGAAAUCCACGGCAAGGAUGUAAACUUUCUAGAAACUUCUCAUUUGUGUCCUACAACACUUUGGAGUCCUUCUAGCAUUAGGAAAACAUGUCUCAAUCCUCCCUUGACUUGGAAUUCUUCUCCUUCUUGGAUUUGGAAAACUUCUUUGUUGCUGAAACUUGAUGCCAUUUGGAUUUAACUUUCCUACUUCAAGUAGGAAACCUUGUUUGAGUAGGAAUCUUCAUCUUCAAG